rnacentral:rRNA from 1 species
UACGGGGGAUCCAAGCGUUAUCCGGAAUUACUGGGCGUAAAGAGUUGCGUAGGUGGCACUGUAAGUUGAUAGUGAAAGCGUCCGGCUCAACCGGAUAUACAUUAUCAAAACUACAGAGCUAGAGGACAUGAGAGGUAAUUGGAAUUCCUAGUGUAGGAGUGAAAUCCGUAGAUAUUAGGAGGAACACCGAUGGCGUAGGCAGAUUACUGGCAUGUUCCUGACACUAAGGCACGAAAGCAUGGGUAGCAAACGGG